GAUGAAGAACGUAGCGAAAUGCGAUACGUAAUGUGAAUUGCAGAAUUCAGUGAAUCAUCGAAUCUUUGAACGCAUAUUGCGCUCUCUGGUAUUCCGGAGAGCAUGCUUGUUUGAGUAUCAGUAAACACCUCAACUUCCAUAUCUUUUUUGAAAUGGGAGUUGGACUUGAGUGAUCCCAACGCUUUUCCUCACCGAAAAGUGGCGGGUUACUUGAAAUGCAGGUGCAGCUGGACUUUUCUCUGAGCUAUAAGCAUAUCUAUUUAGUCUGCCUAAAAAACAGAUUAUUACCUUUGCUGCAGCUAACAUAAAGGAGAUUAGUUCUUGUGCUGACUGAUGCAGGAUUCACAAAGACAGGCUUCGGCCGACUUUGUAAACUCGAUCUCAAAUCAAGUAAGACUACCCGCUGAACUUAAGCAUAUCAUAACGGAGGA
rnacentral:misc_RNA from 1 species